UGAAGCUUCCGAACCUACAAACCUACCAGUUACUUCAACUAGAGGAGAACGUAUAGUUAAUUGCUUAUCUACCUUCGAAGUAGGAUCAACAUCAACUGCAUCUCAUGUUGCAACUAAAUUAAGUUCAAGACUUACUGCAAAUAGAGGAACAACUUAUUCUAUCAAGGGUAACUGUUUAUAUAGUUCUAGCUCAAGGAAAUGACAAAGAUGACCUACCU